AUUUUUCACAAAAGAACACCAUCGUCUGGGGAAGAGAGAAAAGUUUUGGCUCACCUGAAAGAAGAAAAGUCACAUUAACGCCGAUACAAGAAUGAGGUCUCCCACCAGAAUGAUCAGUUUUCUUGUCAAGGACUCCACAGUGACUUACCGAAUUUAACAACAGUCAACAGAUCCUCCUGGAAAAAAGAAAGAGAGAAGAGGCUGAGGUGCCCCUCGCAUGCAAUGAAAAGGCACCGACCUCUGAACCAGGAAGGGGGCUCUCACCAAGACGCUUUCGGGACUUCCUGGCCUCCAGAACGCUCAGAUGGACAGCACUGAAAAAUCACAAAUCUGAGAAACCCAGGACGAUCCCAUGGGCAUGGAGAUUGCUGCAUGGGCCAGAACCCAAGGCCCAAGGGCACAGAGUUCGCCUUCUCUAGACCUUGCCAAACGCUGGCCGUCCUUCCUGGUGGCAAGUUCAGAGGAUCACGGCACACCCCCCACAGAGCAGGUGGAUCUGGCCUUCACACAUGAUGAGCUUUCUCCACGUCCUCAGCUGGGAAUGCACAGGACCCCAUGUUUCGAUGGUUUAACCUAUGAAAUGUAUGAGGAAGCCCGCCCAGGCAGACGCGGUGAGGCGGCUGUGUUCUGUCCCCAGGUGGGUUCCAGCUUCUGCUAAGUAACAGAUAACAGGUGUCACUCUGCUUCUUUUUACCCUUCCCCCCAGGCUCCCUCAGGGCCUGGCCAAUGGCUGAGAUGGGGCAACGAAGACAAACGGGUGUCGGCGAGGUGCCGGGGAGCUUACCAGACAGACAGCUAUCCAGGCAGCUCUCCCGGCGGGUGUUCCCGCACCACUCUUCAGGGGUCACCCUGCCCUCGCGGUGGUGUGGCAGAAGCAUAGCCAGGUUCUAGAAUGGAGAAAGGAGCCUGAAGCAUGGGUAGGCCAGAGGAAGAGGGCGACGGACACCUCAAAGGGCAUCAUAUUCCCUGAGCAUCUCAUGCUAUGGGCUGAAUUGUGUUCCUCAGAAUCCUUAUGUUGAAACCCUAGUCCCCAAGGUAAUUUGGAGACAGGGCCUAUAAGGAGACAGUUAAUGUUACCCGAGGUCCUAAGGGUGGAACCCUGAUCUAUUAGGAUCAGCGUCCUUAGGAGGAAAGACACCAAAGAGCUUGAUUCCUCUCUCUCUCUCUGCUCUGUGAGGGCACAACAAGAAGGUGGCCCCAUCUGCAAGGUAGGAAGAGAGAUCCUACCAGGAACCGAAAUGGCCCCAACCCUUCGGUCUUGGACUUCUAGCCGCCAGAACUGUGAGAAUUCCCAGUCUGUGGCAUUUUGUUAGAGCAGCUGGAUUAGACUCAUGCAACCACCGAGAUGGCAAUUGCUGACGGAUGAGGCUGACCUUCAGUUUCCCCCCUGCUUCCAGCAAUGAAAUUUCAUCCUAGUCUCAGCAACCAUUGUGCCACAAUAUCACUUUGUGAAAAUGAUGGCAAAGGUGCCACUUGUGGAGAAUCUGCACAGGGGAGGGAUUUCUCUGCCUCAUGCCCCCACCAGGCCAUGCCUCUGGUGAGGCCUGGAAAGCCAGGUCAGGCCCCAGCAGUUUCAUGGAAGCCAGCCCCAAGCCUGGUUGCCCCGCUUCGGGGGCACCUAGAACCUUCCAACCAUGACUGUAACAUCCCAGAGAAUGGACUCGAGCCCUGCCUCAUCCCACCCCACCCCACUGUCCAGGACAGCACUCGUGCCAGCACGAGGGCCCCCCGGGAGCGUUCCUCCCACAGCCAGAGUCACGGGCCACCCACUUUGCAUCCCUCCCUGCAACAAUCCUGAAAGAUAAUGUAGCUCCCAAGGACCCCAAACUUUCCAUGUUCCCCACGUCUUAGGGAGCUCGGUGUAUGAAAAGGCUGGCUCUACACGCUGGGUGUGAUUUAUAAGAAGACUCAGCAGAAUUCCUUUCACUAGGCCCUUCCUUCUUUUCUAUCAAAAAUACAAGGCUUUAAAAAACUUGUGUUUUUCCUUGAAUUCCUCAAUCAAAUGUAUGCUCUGUGAGAUAAAGGAAUAGGAAGAUUUGAAGCAGGUAUUGGAGUUGAUCCCACGAGAACAAGCCAGCCUUGGGCCUCGGGAACGGCUGGCUAGAGCCCACGGUAGCCACUGAGAGGGAAAGAGGGAGAGGAGAGAACGGCCGAGGGUGUCACGCACAAGGAAGCCUGGCGCUCGCAGUUGGACAGUGCUAGCGCUCCGACCCCUCGGUCACCCUCUGAUGUCAUCUGAGCCCAUCAUGUAUCCAGUUCUGGCGGCAACCAUGAGCAUUUCUGACCACAGGCAGUGUGUGCCAGGAGGCUUUGUCCCAUCUGUCCACGCCUGCCCUCUGCCUCUGCUUUUGGCCACCAAGAUCGAAAACACGCCCCCGAGCCCUACAGCCCAGGGGCACCAAGCGACCCACACAGAUGCAUUCCGCUCAAGCUGCCAUCACAGAAAUGCACUUGUGGUGAUCCUUCCUCUGCCUCCAUGAGAGUGUUGAGUGACCUGGUUCUGGGAGCCCCUUAUUUUCUCCUUGGAUCCCAGACACAAAUAAGAAUAAAGCUUGCUUACAUGCCAAGGACGUUUCUGAGCUCUGGUGCCCGCAGAAUUUCCUAGGACUGAGAACGCAAGUCUGUCAUUAUGGUAUUUGCAGAACCAGAGACUGUAUUUAAGUCUUCAAGAGGAUGCUUAUUAUAACCCCUUUCUUGGGACUCUCAUGCCAAAACACUACAUGAAUAGUCUUUUUCAAGGAAAUUUGCCAGGGAAGGCAGCAAGCAUCUGAUCACAUAGGAAUAGUUUUGGGUCGAUUUCAAGCUGUAGAGUCUAGGGGAGAAGGAAGUUUUCCUGACGGCUGCCCUGGGGAAGGAGAAUCCACACGAGGCUGUGUAUUGCACAGGCUGCCAUUGAGGGACUGCCAUCUUCAGAAAUUAUGACAGGAACAGUGGGCCUUGGAGUUGAGCAUGGUUGACAACCUUUCCUGCCACGCGAAGUGGGUAUCCACGGAAGACACUGAAUCCUGAUUGAAAGAUUAAUGAUGGGGAAAACCGGUGCCUCAGGGGAUAGAUGAGGGUUCUGAGCUCUUCUGGGGGAGAAAGCAGACACUCAAGCCGGACACAUUGAA